rnacentral:tRNA from 1 species
UCUCUGGUGGCUCAGAGAGUACAGCAUCUGCCUGUAACGCGGGAGACCUGGGUUCGAUCCCUAUGUCUGGGAA